CAGUAGCCGCGGGAAUACGGAGGGUGCAAGCGUUAAUCGGAAUUACUGGGCGUAAAGCGCACGCAGGCGGUUUGUUAAGUCAGAUGUGAAAUCCCCGGGCUCAACCUGGGAACUGCAUUUGAAACUGGCAAGCUAGAGUCUCGUAGAGGGGGGUAGAAUUCCAGGUGUAGCGGUGAAAUGCGUAGAGAUCUGGAGGAAUACCGGUGGCGAAGGCGGCCCCCUGGACAAAGACUAACGCUCAGGUGCGAAAGCGUGGGGAGCAAACAGGAUUAGAUACCCCUGUAGUCCCUGUCUCUUAUAC
rnacentral:rRNA from 1 species